UUGAAGAGUUUGAUCAUGGCUCAGAUUGAACGCUGGCGGCAGGCCUAACACAUGCAAGUCGAACGGUAACAGGAAGCAGCUUGCUGCUUUGCUGACGAGUGGCGGACGGGUGAGUAAUGUCUGGGAAACUGCCUGAUGGAGGGGGAUAACUACUGGAAACGGUAGCUAAUACCGCAUAACGUCGCAAGACCAAAGAGGGGGACCUUCGGGCCUCUUGCCAUCGGAUGUGCCCAGAUGGGAUUAGCUAGUAGGUGGGGUAACGGCUCACCUAGGCGACGAUCCCUAGCUGGUCUGAGAGGAUGACCAGCCACACUGGAACUGAGACACGGUCCAGACUCCUACGGGAGGCAGCAGUGGGGAAUAUUGCACAAUGGGCGCAAGCCUGAUGCAGCCAUGCCGCGUGUAUGAAGAAGGCCUUCGGGUUGUAAAGUACUUUCAGCGGGGAGGAAGGGAGUAAAGUUAAUACCUUUGCUCAUUGACGUUACCCGCAGAAGAAGCACCGGCUAACUCCGUGCCAGCAGCCGCGGUAAUACGGAGGGUGCAAGCGUUAAUCGGAAUUACUGGGCGUAAAGCGCACGCAGGCGGUUUGUUAAGUCAGAUGUGAAAUCCCCGGGCUCAACCUGGGAACUGCAUCUGAUACUGGCAAGCUUGAGUCUCGUAGAGGGGGGUAGAAUUCCAGGUGUAGCGGUGAAAUGCGUAGAGAUCUGGAGGAAUACCGGUGGCGAAGGCGGCCCCCUGGACGAAGACUGACGCUCAGGUGCGAAAGCGUGGGGAGCAAACAGGAUUAGAUACCCUGGUAGUCCACGCCGUAAACGAUGUCGACUUGGAGGUUGUGCCCUUGAGGCGUGGCUUCCGGAGCUAACGCGUUAAGUCGACCGCCUGGGGAGUACGGCCGCAAGGUUAAAACUCAAAUGAAUUGACGGGGCCCGCACAAGCGGUGGAGCAUGUGGUUUAAUUCGAUGCAACGCGAAGAACCUUACCUGGUCUUGACAUCCACGGAAGUUUUCAGAGAUGAGAAUGUGCCUUCGGGAACCGUGAGACAGGUGCUGCAUGGCUGUCGUCAGCUCGUGUUGUGAAAUGUUGGGUUAAGUCCCGCAACGAGCGCAACCCUUAUCCUUUGUUGCCAGCGGUCCGGCCGGGAACUCAAAGGAGACUGCCAGUGAUAAACUGGAGGAAGGUGGGGAUGACGUCAAGUCAUCAUGGCCCUUACGACCAGGGCUACACACGUGCUACAAUGGCGCAUACAAAGAGAAGCGACCUCGCGAGAGCAAGCGGACCUCAUAAAGUGCGUCGUAGUCCGGAUUGGAGUCUGCAACUCGACUCCAUGAAGUCGGAAUCGCUAGUAAUCGUGGAUCAGAAUGCCACGGUGAAUACGUUCCCGGGCCUUGUACACACCGCCCGUCACACCAUGGGAGUGGGUUGCAAAAGAAGUAGGUAGCUUAACCUUCGGGAGGGCGCUUACCACUUUGUGAUUCAUGACUGGGGUGAAGUCGUAACAAGGUAACCGUAGGGGAACCUGCGGUUGGAUCACCUCCUU
rnacentral:rRNA from 1 species